GAGCGGGAGAGCGCGAAGCUGGGCCUGUCGGUGUCAGAUGCGGCCCUCCCUGAGGAGGGAGAAGCCCUCACCGUCAGGAGCUUUUGCCUGUGGGAAGAGUAAGGGUCUGUCGCUCAUCUCUAACGUUUACAGGUUCCAGGUACUCAGGAGGCUGAGGCAGGAAGAUUGCUUGAGACCACAAGUUCAAGGCUGGCCUGGCCAACACACCAAGGCCCUAUUUAAAACAAAUGAAAAAUCGUAGAGCACUGACCUAACAGACAUGAGGCCCGGAAUUGAAUCACCAGCAGUGCAAAGUGUAAGGUAUACUUACAUUUUCAUGAACAUCGGGGAUCGCACUGCUUAAGGCCACACCGCCGUAAAUAUAGAGAGCGUACGAUGCUGCUGCCUGAAGGGACUCCCAGUGUUGUAGUCGAGCUUCCCACAUUUUCCAGAACCCAGGCAGUUCUUACCCGUGGACCGCUCCCCUCUAGUCGGGAAGAGGUGCCGUGUGCUCUUCCUGCUGCAGAUGGCACUGCCUGGCGUCCCCGCGAAGGCAGCCGGAGUGUGAGCCCUGGAGGGUCAGAGCAGAGCAUGCCGUCCUGAGCUCAGAACAAGACGUCAGGAUUGUGAGAAGCCGCGGACGUUUACAGUCACGUGUCCGAUACGCACCUGGGGCCCGAGGUUCAGUGUAGCCUCCUUCAGGGCAGAGCGGUCACGUGACCCACACCUUGGCCGUGCCUGUUUGGGACAGCGGCCAUGCCAGACCGAGUCUCCAAAGACGGCUGGAGAUGAAGCUCCAAGUGAAGGCCCUGGGCUCAGUCCCCAGUGCCCCGCACACAAGCGUGCGGGCCCUCACUCAGGCACAAGCUACAGUUCCCGGUGUAUUUAUUGCCUCAGCUCGGGAUCCGUCCUCCAGUCCACUGGCUCCUACGCGAGGCACCGGCCUGGAUCCAACUGAUGUGAAGUGGGUCCCACGUGUGCAGACUGGAGGUGGAGGCUCGGGGCAGAGCUGGCACUGGUCCGUCCGGUCAGGCCCUUGGGACUGAGCAAGUGCUGAUCUCCGCAGCGGGGAGGAAUGGGGAUCCGAACGCCCGGCAUGCACGGCAUCACCAUGAGCCAAGCUGUCGCCCACAGCUUGUUUGGAUUAAAGAACCCACUACAGCAGGAGCCUGGGCGCACAGCUGGGUCCGUGAGGCGACCACAGGCGGUGGCGGGGGAACAGGCCUUCCUGUGUGCAGAGGGGAAAGACACCCGGCCCUCAGCGCCCAGCCCGUCCUGAGCUGAGAACCAGAGACUCCACCACAA
ensembl:lncRNA